UUAAUUUUAAUUUCAAUCUCCUAAACGUUCUGGACGGAUAUCUACAUCCGUUUAAGAUCCAAUCAAAUGUCACAUGUCUGACGUCUUCUUCCUCCUAGGACUCAUAAAUUCUCACACAGAAAAAUACAAAACCCAGAAACCUCACGCACACACAACUGAAAAGUUGUUACAUACAUUUAAAAAAAAAAACAACUAGAAAUCAAGACAACGCUCAAGAAACCAAAAGAAAAAAUAAGCUCUGGUGCAGAGUGGCAGAAACUAGCAACAUGCGGAAGAAGAAACCCAAACGAACGAAAGCUUCUUUAUCAAGCGGCGGAAGAAGAGACGAAAAACUAACCUCUCGAAGACCAACCGGCAGAAACGAAGCACCACUGCACCGCACCGCCAAACCGCCGCACACACAGGCCACACCGCCGCACACCCAGGCCGCACCACCGCAAAAUGCACAGACAAAGGAGUUGGGAGUCAAAGGUUAAAAAAAAUGAAAAUGAGAGUGAAGAGAAACAGAUCGGGAAGGUGGGAGUGCUGUGUUACCGUGAGAAAGGGAGUGAAAAGGUGAGGGUGCUGUGUUACCGUGAGGAAGGGAGUGAACUUGAAAAUGGGAAAGUAAGAAAUCUAGAGUUAGUUAAAUAAAAGAGGGUUAAAAAUGUAAAUUACAAAGUAUAUAAAAGGUUAUUUUUAUAAUAUAAAACAAUUAAAAAAAUGGGGAGGUAGAAAUCCAAAACCGUGGAGGUGUAGGGAUCAACUCUCAUUUGAAACGGACUAAUCACAAACUGUCACGUAAGCGGUUAUAAAAAAGUUGUAAAAAAAAAUGGUUAAAAAUACAUUUUCCUUAGAGAAAAUAUGAUUGUUUAGUGGUUGACUCUAAUUUUUGUUGGAAUAAACUUAAAUUUUAGAUAUUUAUUAUUUUUUUUUUGUUUUGGGUAUAAUAAUAUUUGGGUUGAUUUAAUAAAGAUCAAAUAGGAAUGGGUAAUAAUGAUUUUCUGUUUAUCUAGGUAGAAUAUUAUUUUAUGAUAGAAUAAACAGAUUUUAUUUUUAAAGUUUUUAUUAUUUGUACUUGGCCC
rnacentral:lncRNA from 1 species